UUUCUCCUGGAGGCUUGGAUCAGCUUUUCUUUGGCUGGCUCCAACUUCUGAAAGAACAGCCGACUGCCCUCCCCUCCGGGCUGCCCUCAGACAGAGAGUGGGGCUCCAAGCAGGGGAAGCACAGAUCAUGGGCCUCUCCAUGAUUUCUUGGUACAGGACAGACCACAAAUACAUCCCAUCUGCAGUAGGACCACGGACACAAACAAGGCCCUUGAAGGCAGCCCAGAUCCCGAACAUCGACUUUGCUUUAGGUGGCAGUGCGUACCACUCACAUCAAUGAUGUCCCCUGGCAGUAGCAGAGCCCACAGACAUCAGCCAGAAAUGAUUCUUUGGAGUUUUCUCUGUGUGUUUGCCAGAGGCUUUGGUGAGAGUGUCUCUGUCUGUUGGCAGCUGCUGGCACCCAGAAUUGAGACUGUAGAAGCAGAGGCAGAGGGAAGACGCCAAGGAAAGCUACCGUGGAAUUUCUGAAUUCCUGUGAAUCAUGGAAUAACUGCUACAAUUUUCAUUGUUUAUUAUGUUCACAAUGAUGUCCUCAGAUUCUCAAAAUAAUAGGAGACUCGAUGGGGCGUUAGAUUAGAGAUCCAUGCAACAGCACCAUGAAGGAGGGAAUGAACGCAUUUCGACUGGAACAUUUUGAAAAGCUCCUUGGUGGUGUAAUUCAAAACCAAUUUGGAGGACCUGGGAAGAGGAAAAUUAGCUAACUAAAUGGAGAGUUCUUUCCAGAAGAUUUAAAGGUAAGCCAGGCAGAUUCUAUAACAUCGAGAGAUGAGAGCCAUGCAUGGGUUUCCCCACCCUGCUCUCUUUUCCUGAGUAUACAGAAAGGUGACAUUUCCCAGCCUUGCCUGGAGUUAAGCAGGAUUAUGUGACUGUCUUCUGGCAAAUGGGAUGAAGGUUAACUGAUGUAUGUCUUUUCCUCUAAGAUUCCUGGUUUGUUUGGAUAACAGAAUGCAGAGGAUCCAACAAACGCCUGGGAGGACUUCCCAGACAGGCCAUCAAAUGGAAGGGAUCAGCAUGCUGAAAUCAGAGAUGCCUGGUCAGGAAGUAGGCAUGAUGGGUGAGCUAUGUGAUACGUGCUGUUGCUGGCCAAUGGUGGUGCACGUCUUUAAUCCCAGCACUCAGGAGUCAGAGGCAGGUGGAUCUCUGUGAGUUUGAGGCCAGCCUAGUCUACAGAAUGAGUUCUAGGGCAGCUAGGGCUACACAGAGAAACCCUGUCUCAAAAAAAAAAAAAAAAGAAAAAGAAAAAGAAAAAAAGAGAGAAAAAAAGAGCUGUCUUAGCACUAGGGAUAGAGGGCUGCACAGGUGUGUUUGAUAGAUCUAGGAAAUCCCUAGGAAAGAGUCAUUUGCAAGAGUUACAGUCCUUGCCAUCUUAGACAGGAAGAAGGCUCAGAUUAGUAGAUGCCAGGACUAGGAAGAACGUUAGACCCAUCUUUCCUUUAUAGAACUCUGGGAGCCGUUUUGGGAGCAGGGCCAGUUUUGUGUAGCCACUUAACUUGGGCUUGUAAGGCAUAAUGGGAAGAAGCAAAGCAGGAGGGCCACUCCACCAAGCAAGCACCCGCAGACAUUUGCAGCUUACAGGAAACGGAAAUGGGGAGGUGCUAUCAGCUUACAGGAAACGGAAGCGGGGAGGUGCUAUGAGGGCAGAUCUAAAACUUGUUGGCUCAGGGUCUCAGUGUGUAGCCCUGGUUAGCCUAGAGCUUGCUACAUAGACCAGGUCAGCUGGCUUCUGCCCCCUUAGUGCAGUGGUGACAGGGUAUGUGCUACCAUGCUUGGCUCAUGACUACUUAACACAAACUUUUAUAUCUUUUUAAAUUUUAAUGUAACUUUUCAAUGUAAACGUAUUUAUUCAUUCUAGUGAAACAAAAUAAAGUUAAACUGUGAAGUUGAUUUGGUGACCACAUUAAAUACAUUUGUCAAUUAUUUAUUAUAAAGUCUGAUUGAGAUAGUAACAAUAAUGUACUUUAAGCAUUUUUUAUUUAAAAUAUAAUUAUAUUAUUUCCCCUUCCCUUUUCUCUGUACUUAUAUAUAGCUCUUAAAAUAUAAAUGGAUAAUACAUGCUUCUUCUAAUGAAAAAUUGAAAAUAUUGAAAAGUCAAGGAAUAAAGUGGUGAUUAUUUCUAA